rnacentral:rRNA from 1 species
ACGCUCGACACCUACGGGGGGCAGCGGUGGGGAAUAUUGCACAAUGGGGGAAACCCUGAUGCAGCGACGCCGCGUGAGCGAAGAAGUAUUUCGGUAUGUAAAGCUCUAUCAGCAGGGAAGAAACUGACGGUACCUGACUAAGAAGCACCGGCUAAAUACGUGCCAACAGCCGCGGUAAUCUGAGCGGGCUGGCAAGGC